ACAGGAUCAAGACAGGUGACCGGGUGUGCGCGUGCCAGGGAGCCGCGCGGGCCUCGCACAACCUGGGCAGGCCCCGAGGGCUGGCGCACUGCCCUGGCAUACCUGCAGGGCGCUUCCCCUCCAUUCCUAGAGGGCCGCGCUUCUGGAGAGGCUCAGGAAGGGUGGGCGUGGGGAGCCAAGCUCUAAAACAGGGUAGAGAUUCCUACUGUGUGCAGGGCACCGCGCCGGCUCCUGCAGCUUUGUUAUUUCACACUGGCCUCCUGAGACGGCCUGCCGGGGGGUAGAAUUGACACCCCAUUUGACAGAUGAGGAAAAACCAAGUGUGGGAGGCCCCAGUCCUCUCUGCCAAUCCGCUAUACGUGUUUUGUUUUCAGUGGUGGACCUGGUUUCUGCAGACCUGGAAGAGGUAGCUCAGAAAUGUGGCUUGUCUUACAAGGCAGAAGCUCUCCGGAGGAUCCAGGUGGUGCAUGCAUUUGACAUCUUCCAGAUGCUGGAUGUGCUGCAGGAGCUCCGAGGCACUGUGGCCCAGCAGGUGACUGGUUCUUCAGGAACUGUGAAGGU
rnacentral:lncRNA from 1 species